CCUACGGGUGGCUGCAGUGGGGAAUAUUGCACAAUGGGCGCAAGCCUGAUGCAGCCAUGCCGCGUGUGUGAAGAAGGCCUUCGGGUUGUAAGGCACUUUCAGCGGGGAGGAAGGCGGUGAGGUUAAUAACCUCAUCGAUUGACGUUACCCGCAGAAGAAGCACCGGCUAACUCCGUGCCAGCGGCCGCGGUAAUACGGAGGGUGCAAGCGUUAAUCGGAAUUACUGGGCGUAAAGCGCACGCAGGCGGUCUGUCAAGUCGGAUGUGAAAUCCCCGGGCUCAACCUGGGAACUGCAUUCGAAACUGGCAGGCUAGAGUCUUGUAGAGGGGGGUAGAAUUCCAGGUGUAGCGGUGAAAUGCGUAGAGAUCUGGAGGAAUACCGGUGGCGAAGGCGGCCCCCUGGACAAAGACUGACGCUCAGGUGCGAAAGCGUGGGGAGCAAACAGGAUUAGAUACCCUUGUAGUC
rnacentral:rRNA from 1 species